CUACGGGUGGCUCCAGGCGCGAAAACUUUACAAUGCAGGAAACUGUGAUAAGGGAACCCCGAGUGCCCGUACACGCGGGCUGUCUGGGUGUUUAAAAUGCACCCAAAGAAAGGGCCGGGCAAGACCGGUGUCAGCCGCCGCGGUAAUACCGGCGGCUCGAGUGGUGUCCACUUUUAUUGGGCUUAAAGCGUUCGUAGCUGGACUGCUAAGUCCCUUGGGAAAUCCGCCGGCUUAACCGGCAGGCGUCUAAGGGAUACUGGCAGUCUUGGGACCGGGAGAGGUAAGAGGUACUCCGGGGGUAGGAGUGAAAUCCUGUAAUCCCCGGGGGGCCACCGGUGGCGAAGGCGUCUUACCAGAACGGCUCCGACAGUGAGGAACGAAAGCUGGGGGAGCGAACCGGAUUAGAUACCCGCGUAGUC
rnacentral:rRNA from 1 species